GAUGAACGCUGGCGGCGUGCUUAACACAUGCAAGCUGAACGGAAAGGCCCCAGCUUGCUGGGGUACUCGAGUGGCGAACGGGUGAGUAACACGUGGGUGAUCUGCCCUGCACUUUGGGAUAAGCUUGGGAAACUGGGUCUAAUACCGAAUAUGACCACUUCUUGGAUGUUGUGGUGGAAAGCUUUUGCGGUGUGGGAUGAGCCUGCGGCCUAUCAGCUUGUUGGUGGGGUAAUGGCCUACCAAGGCGGCGACGGGUAUCCGGCCUGAGAGGGUGUACGGACACAUUGGGACUGAGAUACGGCCCAGACUCCUACGGGAGGCAGCAGUGGGGAAUAUUGCACAAUGGGCGCAAGCCUGAUGCAGUGACGCCGCGUGGGGGAUGAAGGCCUUCGGGUUGUAAACUCCUUUCGCUAUCGACGAAGCCACUUGUGGUGACGGUAGGUAGAUAAGAAGCACCGGCUAACUACGUGCCAGCCGCCGCUGUAA
rnacentral:rRNA from 1 species